rnacentral:rRNA from 1 species
CUUCGCCACUGGUGGUCUUCCCGGAAUUAUAGGAUUUCACCCCUACUCCGAGAAUACGGUCAGCCUCUCCCGCUCCCUAGUUGAACAGUAUCCCCCGCAGCCCACCGAUUGAAUCGGUGGAUUUAACGGAGGACUUUCCCAACGGGCUACGGAUGCUUUAGGCCCAAUAAACGUCCCCACCA